AGAACGAACGCUGGCGGCAGGCUUAACACAUGCAAGUCGAACGCUCGUAGCAAUACGGGAGUGGCAGACGGGUGAGUAACGCGUGGGAACAUACCCUCCGGUUCGGAAUAGCUCAGGGAAACUUGGAUUAAUACCGGAUACGGCUGAGAGGCGAAAGAUUUAUCGCCGGAGGAUUGGCCCGCGUUCGAUUAGCUUGUUGGUGAGGUAACGGCUCACCAAGGCGAUGAUCGAUAGCUGGUCUGAGAGGAUGAUCAGCCACAUUGGGACUGAGACACGGCCCAAACUCCUACGGGAGGCAGCAGUGGGAAUAUUGGACAAUGGGCGCAAGCCUGAUCCAGCCAUGCCGCGUGAGUGAUGACGGCCUUAGGGUUGUAAAGCUCUUUCGCUCGGGACGAUAAUGACGGUACCGAGAUAAGAACGCCCGGCUAACUCGCGCCAGCACGCCGC
rnacentral:rRNA from 1 species